GCGGCGGUAGUUCAGUUGGCAGAACAUUUGCUUGCCAAGCAAAAGGUCGGGGGUUCGAGACCCCUCCGCCGCU
rnacentral:tRNA from 1 species